rnacentral:rRNA from 1 species
GAUGAACGCUGACAGAAUGCUUAACACAUGCAAGUCUUUGGCGAAGCUGUGCUUGCACCGCCUAGCCAAGGCGGACGGGUGAGUAACGCGUAAGGAACUUGCCCUGCAGUCAGGGAUAACAGACGGAAACGACUGAUAAGACCUGGUAAAGUCAGGCGGACUCAUGUCCAGCCUGAUGAAAAGAGAUGCUGCAGGAGAGCCUUGCGUCCUAUUAGCUUGUUGGUGGGGUAACGGCCCACCAAGGCGAUGAUAGGUAGCCGGCCUGAGAGGGUGGACGGCCACAAGGGGACUGAGAUACGGCCCUUACUCCUACGGGAGGCAGCAGUGGGGAAUAGUGGACAAUGGGGGCAACCCUGAUCCAGCAAUUCUGUGUGCACGAUGAAGGUUUUCGGAUUGUAAAGUGCUUUCAGCAGGGAAGAAAAAAAUGACGGUACCUGCAGAAGAAGCGACGGCUAAAUACGUG